AAAUGUGCAUGACAUCCUGGUGAAACCCCCAUUGAGACUGGCCUAAAUGCCCCUAUGCCAUCUAAUUUCUAUUUUUAGUAUUUGACUAGUACGCUUUUUUUUAAGGUAGGCUGUAGUUCAGUCAUGUUUCUGCACCCAAUACACAGUGAUGUAUAUUAUUUCAAGAAUGAUGUUGCUGAAGUUUAGUCUGUAUCUUGUUUGCAACAUUUUUUUGUAGGCAUAUAAUUCAAAUCAGGGAAAAUGUUAUGGAUGUAUCUCACGCCAAGUAUGAAGCUAAGUCAGCUAGAUUAGCACCAAAGGGCAUCAAAUUUGUAUGAUUUUGAUGAAAAGUAAAGGCAGCUGUUAGUUAUUUGUGAAAUGAGCAUAUGUUAGUCAUAGCAACGUACAUAUGAUUCCAUUCUCAUUUGUAUACAGGGAGGAAAUUGUGAGACCAAAUGCAAUUAGUUUUUUGUGAGACUGCAGCAACCACUGAAUUCGCUAGGGUAGAGAUGGAGUGGAUGGUGAAGCAGUUUCCUAUUGACUGAA